GAUGAAGAACGUAGCGAAAUGCGAUAAGUAAUGCGAAUUGCAGAAUUCAGUGAAUCAUCGAAUCUUUGAACGCACAUUGCGCCCGCCAGUAUUCUGGCGGGCAUGCCUGUUCGAGCGUCAUUUCAACCAUCAAGCCCCCGGCUUGUGUUGGGGACCUGCGGCUGCCGCAGGCCCUGAAAACCAGUGGCGGGCUCGCUAGUCACUCCGAGCGUAGUAAUACAUCUCGCUCAGGGCGUGCUGCGGGUUCCGGCCGUUAAAAAGCCUUAUUUACCCAAGGUUGACCUCGGAUCAGGUAGGAAGACCCGCUGAACUUAAGCAUAUCAAUAAGCGGAGA
rnacentral:misc_RNA from 1 species